rnacentral:lncRNA from 1 species
CUCAGAGGAAUAGAGAUGCUCAAGCACCGGUCCCCACUUGAACAAAUAUUGUCGUGCUGAGUGAUGAGAGCCCUCAGAAAGCUGAACAGAGGCACCCAGAGGACCGUGAAUAUUGGCAGAACUCCUCAAGAUUGAUUUGUGCAGUGUUGGAAGAUGAUAGUAGGUAACUAGACUCCUCCAAACAACAACCAACUUAAAUUCAAACUAGUGAUUUAUCAACAGAUUG